AUUCCAGGCACUGUUUCCCUGUCCUCAAGAAGCUCACAUUUCAGUAGGGGUGUCAAACAAUAAAUACUGACACCAGCUAGUGAAAAGUUCUGUUAAAAAAACUUCAGUAAAGUCGGAGAGAAGUGGGAUCAAGUGGUGGAUGGUGGAGGAGAGUAUUUCUGAGGAAGUGAAAGGAGGAAGCAAGCCCCAGGGAUAAGCUGAGGGAAGAGCAUUCCAGGAAAAGGGAACAACAGGUGCAAAGCUCUGAGGUAGGAACAUGCUUAGCAUUUUGGAAGUUAGUCCUUAUGAAGAAUAAAUGAGCUCAGACUUCUUAGUGAGAGGUCUAGCACAUAAUCAGCCCUCAAAACGUGGGAGCUCUUCUGUUACAAGGAAGAAAGGGUUAAGGAGAGAAUAGAUGCUUAAUAAAUGGGGGCUGUGGUCACGUUUCUCUUUAUUAGUUUUACCGUGAUCAUCAUCACCUCUAUACAAAACAUUUUUGUUGGCUUAGGUUUUCCUCCCAAUUUAGGAGCCCUAAUGAGGCUGUUGUGUGUUAUGAUCUCAACGUGGUUUCUUCCGAGUUCAUUCUUUCAACAAGGUUGCGAUGUCUCAGCAGCCCAUCCAUCCUAGCUUUCAUGCUGGAAACUCAGUAGUCUCUGUCAUCUGCCUUUUCUGUCACCUCCAGCCCUCAAACAGCCCUAACCAUUCUGCUGUCUCAGUGUUUCCCACUUGUCCCUUCCCCUGCCGCCUCUGCACCAGCCUCCUUCCUCAUCUCGCAGCUCAUUUCACCUGUCACAUCUUCACUGCAUUCACACUUAUUCAUCCUUGCAAUCUUAGCUCAAAUACCCCUUCAGGGAAGCCUCCCAUGAGUCCCCAGAAGUCGGGGAUCUGACUUCCAGUAGAAGUUACAUUCUUGCAGCCUCCCUCCUGGUUUUUCCUUGGUAGCCCGCAUCACACUCAGUAAGUACACAUAUCUGAAUUAUGUAUCUGUAUGAUCCUUUGAAUCACAUCCAUCUCCACCAGACUGCGCUGUGUGGGCUGGGACCAGGUCUGUGUUGAUCACCGAACAGUAGGUCCUUUGCACAUAGUACGUCCUCAGCAUGGAUUUGUUGAAGAAGUAGGUGCAGCCCCUGUGCUAUGGAGGGUGGGGUGGGGACUCACUUAGUAGUGACUGAUAAUGGCAACUACCACAUGUGUUUCCCAUGGGCUUAACUCUCCUGAUUUCCUGUGAUCCUCCUAACAAAGCCCAGAGGUAGGCAUGAUACUCCCCUUUGUGGAUAAAGAAACAGAGGCUUUGAUGGCUGGAGUGCUCGCUCUCAAGUGGCAGAGUCAGGAAUGCAACUAGGCCUCCCACUUCCAAAGCCGGUGCUAUAAACCCUGGCCUACAUUUCCCUGCAAUGCUCCUGGAGGAUUUUAAUGGGUUUCUGUGGUCAAGCGAGUUUGGGGAACACUGGGUUCCUCAAGUUUGCUCACCACAGGACUUUCAGAGCACACGAGUGCCAGUGGCCCUCGACCCAGCUGCCCCUGGAAUUCCGGUGCUCAGGUUCCACACCACAGAUUGCCACAGAGCAGGGCUGGGAUGUGACCUGGGCGGCAGGCCUUGAAAAACUUCUGGGUGGUUCCAGGUGCAGCCAGGGGUGAGAAUUCUGGCAGUGUCCCCACAUUCCUUCAACCUGGAAGCCCGUUUUUCAGGGGCUUGUCGUGGGAAACUGCUCUGUUUUCCCACAAAGCUCUUUUGCUCCUGACUGCUCCUCUCUCUGUUCCUUAUCUUUGGUCCAACCAGCGUCCUGUCUGAACCAAAUGCAGGCCUCCUGUUUCCUGGGUACUUACGGUGUCCCCAGCACAAUAUUUUAUUGCAUUUAGUCCUCAGAACAGUCCUCUGGGUAGGUGUUGUCCCAUUUUACAGAGGGAGGACUGAGGUGCUGGAGAGGGAGGGCCUUUCCCAAGGCCACACAGCCAUGAUCAGAGGCAAAAUCAGGACUCAGGCAUCGGGCUCCAAAACUUGUCGGCAUCAAGUCUGCCUCUUCACCCACUGCAGAGCUCCUUGAGGACAGGAACGGUGGCUCGUUUUCCUCUAUCCCCACGGCACAGGCACCCGGGAACCAGUCGUUCUUUGGAGCUUCUGUGAUCUCCACAUCCGGCCUGGUUAUUUGUGGCUAUUGAAUGGAUUCUUCUGAAUGGUUACAGAUAGAAUGGAAGACUGGCCAGAGGAGCCAGGAUGUCAAAGGGUCUUUGUUCUCCAAGCAGGAAAAACUCAGGGAGGAGGAGGCUGUGGUUUCUCCACCUCAGUAGCUUUAAAGAAAAGGGGAGCUGUGGGCCAACGAGUGAAUUCCUGUGCACGUAGAUAAUGAGCUGUCAUCCACUACUGUGAGCGCUGGCAGGUGGCCCAGGAACAGCACUGCUGGCCAGAACUCUGUCCACGAAGGCCCAGAACCAGGGCUGCUCCCUCCCUAGUCCCCUGUCUGGGUCUGCUCAGAGUGGCUGCCACAGGGGGCUGUUGUGUAAACUCAGCACUGGCUCCGGGCAGGCUCCAGAAGAUUCCAAUGAAUGGGAGAGUCUGCCCUGCCUUCCCUGGGAAUAGUGAUAAACCCCUAAUCUCCAAAGAGCUUUUGCAGAGUCCCUGGAGACGGGCUGUGACAGAGGCAGGUGAACCGGCUUCUCUCCCUUCCUCCUCCACCCUCUCUUCCCCUGUCAUCUGCUCAUCCUUCCUUGGCCCUUCCCUUCCUACUUCCUCUUUUUCCCUCCCUUUUCUUAUUAUUCCCCAGAUCACACCACACCCAGUCUUUUCAGCAGACACUUUGGCCCCUGUUGAUUGAGCUGUCACACCACUGUGAGGUAGGGACUGCCAUCGGCCCCAUUUCACACAUGGGCAAACAGGCACAGCUGUGAGAUGGCUUGCCCACAGUCACCCAUCCAGUAAGUGGCGGCGCCAGGAUUCAAGCCCAGGCAGUCUGAAGCUCGCUGAAGGGAAACUUAAAGUUGUGGAAACCUUUCCGCCCCUUACCCCCCUUCCCCGGCAGAGCUCCCCAGCCUAGCUGAGGACUCUGCUGCCUCUCAGGCUGUGGCCUGGGCCUGGGGGGCCUUCUCACCCACUCCGUCCCCUGCUUAUCUCUUCCUUCACACUCACCUUCCUUAGAGGAGUGCUCCCCAGCCUAGCUGAGGGCAUGCUUUUCUCCCUCUGGCGUCCUCAUGAUUGUAUAGAAAUCACUCUUCAGCGUCUGUUGCUUGAGCACCUCCCAGGCGCAAAGGCCUGUGUCCCCAUUCAGUGACACACAGAGUGGGCAGGGCCUGCAUUGCGCACCUAUCCUGGGAGUGGGGUAAGGAAGGCGUGUAGGAGUCGGGCAGAGGGAACGGUGAGUGGAAAGGCCUGAAGCCUGAGCCUUCCCUCUGUGAUGGCCUGAGCCUGGGGAGAUGUCAUUCCCAAAUGAACCUGGUGGCCAGAGAGGAGGUGGGGGAAGGUUGAAGGGGCUCAUUCCUAGGGACUGGCCUCCCGAGAGGAGCCAGCCAGGAGAGCCAGCUGCCUCCCUCCCAGGGUUCUCUGCUCUCCCACCUCGGCUCUGCCACACUAUCUCCAAGCUUGAUGCAUCACACCACAGGCCCACCUGGUAUUUCUGAUGCCCCAACCUGGGCCUCCCUCCCUCAGCGCUCUCCAGGUCACUCAAAGGAAAAUUACAAGUCUGCGUUCCUCUAGCCAGGCUGCCCCCCUCCCACCGUGGGGCCCUGGCCUGCCCUCCAGAAUGCCUCUUGGCUGCCACUUCCUUCCCUGUGCACCCAAGGGAACUUCUCCCUCUAGAGCCCCUGUGCGUCCUUCCCAGGGUUCCUGGCUGAUUGAUAUUUAAGGUAUAAUGAUCGUAGUUGACUUUUACAGCCCCCAGCUGACGGCGCUGGGUCCACGCCUUGCCGCCCAUGAGCCCUUGGACAAGUCACCUUGAGCUUCCAGGGUGAUCAGAGUCUAUCUGUCUCCUAGGGAGUUGUAAGGCUGUACCCUGAAAGUGCUUACAAUGAGCAGGGGUGAAGCUCAGUGGGGGAAACACCCCCAUAUUUCCUGGAGCAAGGGGGAGCUGGUCCUGAGGGCUGAUGGGGUCUGUGGAGGCGGGUGAGGGAGUGGAGAGGCCACGGGGCAGAGGGGCAAGGCCAGCCCCAC